GACGAACGCUGGCGGCGUGCUUAACACAUGCAAGUCGAACGGAAAGGCCCUGCUUUUGUGGGGUGCUCGAGUGGCGAACGGGUGAGUAACACGUGAGUAACCUGCCCUUGACUUUGGGAUAACUUCAGGAAACUGGGGCUAAUACCGGAUAGGAGCUCCUGCUGCAUGGUGGGGGUUGGAAAGUUUCGGCGGUUGGGGAUGGACUCGCGGCUUAUCAGCUUGUUGGUGGGGUAGUGGCUUACCAAGGCUUUGACGGGUAGCCGGCCUGAGAGGGUGACCGGCCACAUUGGGACUGAGAUACGGCCCAGGCUCCUACGGGAGGCAGCAGUGGGGAAUAUUGCACAAUGGGCGGAAGCCUGAUGCAGCAACGCCGCGUGCGGGAUGACGGCCUUCGGGUUGUAAACCGCUUUCGCCUGUGACGAAGCGUGAGUGACGGUAAUGGGUAAAGAAGCACCGGCUAACUACG
rnacentral:rRNA from 1 species